UACAUGACUGACGAGCGUUAGUCGUAUUACUUGGGUGUAAAGCGUGCGUAGACGGUAAAAGAAAUUGUAUUUACUGGAAUGGUUUCAGGUUAUAUUACAAUACCUUUUUACUUGAAUUUUAUUAAAACAGGCGUAAUUUGAUAACUAGUGAUUAAAUACAGAAAGUUUUCAAGGAUUUUCGUAUACGAAAGUAGUUUGUUUAGUUAAAUUGACGUUGAUGCACUAAAGUGUAGAUACCAAUUAGGAUUAGAGACCCUAUUAGCCUACACCUUAAACGAUGAGUAUUAAAUCUUUUUGAUUUAAGCUAACGCGAUAAAUACUCCACCUGGGCAGUACAGUCGCAAGGUUGAAACUUAACUGAAUUGGCGGGAAUCUGUUCAAACGGUGGAAUAUGUGGUUUAAUGCGAUAAUCCACGCAUAAUCUUACCAACAUUACGAUAGUAUUUUUAUUUCUUAGAUAGAUAUUAAUUUUACUAUUAAAGUACUGCACGGCUGUCGUCAGUUCGUGUCUUGAAAUGUAGAAUUAAGUUUUAUAACGAACGCAACCCCCUUGAUUAGUUUUAAUACGCUAAGUAAUUUCAUUUGUUAUUGCUUUUUGUAUUUUCUAAUUUUAAGAUUUUUUGGAGGGAAGGGCUGAAGUCAAGUCUUCAUGGUCUGUAUAUGUUGGGCUACACACGUGUUACAAUGGUGAAUACAAAAAGUUACAAAAGUUUAAUCUGGAGUAAAACUUAAAAAAUCACCUCAGUUCGGAUUGUUUUCUGAAACUCGAAAGCAUGAAGAUGAAAUCGUAAGUAAUCGUAAAAUAGUAUGUUACGGUGAAUUAUAAGUCAGAUUUUGCACACACCGCCCAUCACGCUCUGAGAGUUGAACUGUACUGAAAAUGUAAUUUUUUGAAAAAAAACAUAAUAUGUUUAUUUUUUAAUUUCAAAAAGUAAAAUUGAACGGCGGUUUGGUAAUUCGAGGGAAGUG
rnacentral:rRNA from 1 species